CCUACGGGAGGCAGCAGUGAGGAAUAUUGGGCAAUGCCCGAAAGGGUGACCCAGCAACGCCGCGUGGAGGAUGAAUGCCGUAAGGUUGUAAACUCCUGUUAGAGGGGAAGAAAAAUCUCGAUCAAAUCGGGAACUGACUGUACCCUCAGAGAAAGCCCCGGCUAACUACGUGC
rnacentral:rRNA from 1 species